rnacentral:rRNA from 1 species
GAUGAACGCUGGCGGCGUGCCUAAUACAUGCAAGUCGAGCGAACAGACUAUGAGCUUGCUCCUCUGACGUUAGCGGCGGACGGGUGAGUAACACGUGGAUAACCUACCUAUAAGACUGGGAUAACUUCGGGAAACCGGAGCUAAUACCGGAUAAUAUAUUGAACCUCAUUUUUCUAUAGUGAAAGACGGUUUUGCUGUCACUUAUAGAUGGAUCCGCGCCGCAUUAGCUAGUUGGUAAGGUAACGGCUUACCAAGGCAACGAUGCGUAGCCGACCUGAGAGGGUGAUCGGCCACACUGGAACUGAGACACGGUCCAGACUCCUACGGGAGGCAGCAGUAGGGAAUCUUCCGCAAUGGGCGAAAGCCUGACGGAGCAACGCCGCGUGAGUGAUGAAGGUCUUCGGAUCGUAAAACUCUGUUAUUAGGGAAGAACAAAUGUGUAAGUAACUAUGCACGUCUUGACGGUACCUAAUCAGAAAGCCACGGCUAACUACGUG